rnacentral:rRNA from 1 species
AGAGUUUGAUCCUGGCUCAGGAUGAACGCUAGCGACAGGCUUAACACAUGCAAGUCGAGGGGCAGCGGAGGUAAAGGCUUGCCUUUACCUGCCGGCGACCGGCGCACGGGUGAGUAACACGUAUGCAACCUGGCCGUCACAGGAGGAUAACCGGGAGAAAUUCCGCCUAAUACUCCAUAACACCGGAGGGAGACAUCUCCCACCGGUCAAAGGAAUUUAUUCCGGUGACGGAUGGGCAUGCGGCGCAUUAGCUAGUCGGCGGGGUAACGGCCCACCGAGGCGACGAUGCGUAGGGGUUCUGAGAGGAAGGUCCCCCACAUUGGAACUGAGACACGGUCCAAACUCCUACGGGAGGCAGCAGUGAGGAAUAUUGGUCAAUGGGCGGAAGCCUGAACCAGCCAAGUCGCGUGAGGGAAUAAGGCCCUAAGGGUCGUAAACCUCUUUUGCCGGGGAGCAAUGGUUCGCUUGCGAGCGGACAGGGAGAGUACCCGGAGAAAAAGCAUCGGCUAACUCCGUGCCAGCAGCCGCGGUAAUACGGAGGAUGCGAGCGUUAUCCGGAUUUAUUGGGUUUAAAGGGUGCGUAGGCGGACCAUCAAGUCAGCGGUCAAAAGUCGGGGCUCAACCCCGUGAAGCCGUUGAAACUGGCGGUCUGGAGUGAGCGAGAAGCAGGCGGAAUGCGUGGUGUAGCGGUGAAAUGCAUAGAUAUCACACAGAACACCGAUUGCGAAGGCAUCUCACGAAUCCGCAAUUGACGCUGAGGCACGAAAGCGUGGGGAUCAAACAGGAUUAGAUACCCUGGUAGUCCACGCUGUAAACGAUGAUGACUAACCGUCGGCGAUACACAGUCGGUGGCCAAGCGAAAGCGGUAAGUCAUCCACCUGGGGAGUACGUUCGCAAGAAUGAAACUCAAAGGAAUUGACGGGGGCCCGCACAAGCGGAGGAACAUGUGGUUUAAUUCGAUGAUACGCGAGGAACCUUACCCGGGCUCGAACGGCAGAUGAAUGUAGUAGAGAUAUUACAGUCUUCGGACAUCUGUCGAGGUGCUGCAUGGUUGUCGUCAGCUCGUGCUGUGAAGUGUCGGCUUAAGUGCCAUAACGAGCGCAACCUUUGCCGUUAGUUGCCGUCAGGUAAUGCUGGGGACUCUAGCGGGACUGCCGUUGACAAAACGGAGGAAGGUGGGGACGACGUCAAAUCAUCAUGCCCCUUAUGUCCUGGGCUACACACGUAAUACAAUGACGGUUAACAGAGGGAUGCAAUACUGUGAGGUGGAGCGAACCCCUAAACACCGUCCCAGUUCGGAUUGCAGGCUGCAACUCGCCUGCAUGAAGUCGGAAUCGCUAGUAAUCGCGGAUCAGCAUGCCGCGGUGAAUACGUUCCCGGGCCUUGCACUCACCGCC